rnacentral:lncRNA from 8 species
AUGGAGUUCGCUAAAUAUUUUCAUAAAGAAACUGAUAAAACACAAAGGUGUGAAAUCAAGGUGACUUACAAAGAUGAGGAGGACCAAGGGCAAGCGAGGGAGUGCCGUGAUGAAGUGUCCACAACUAUAGAAGAGAGGGAGUGUGGUGAUGUAGUGUCCACAACUAUAGAAGAGAGGGAGUGUGGUGAUGUAAUGUCCACAACUAUAGAAGAGAGGGAGUGUGGUGAUGUAGUGUCCACAACUAAAGAAGAGAGGGAGUGUGGUGAUGUAGUGUCCACAACUAAAGAAGAGAGGGAGUGUGGUGAUGUAGUGUCCACAACUAAAGAAGAGAGGGAGUGUGGUGAUGUAGUGUCCACAACUAAAGAAGAGAGGGAGUGUGGUGAUGUAGUGUCCACAACUAAAGAAGAGAGGGAGUGUGGUGAUGUAGUGUCCACAACUAAAGAAGAGAGGGAGUGUGGUGAUGUAGUGUCCACAACUAAAGAAGAGAGGGAGUGUGGUGAUGUAGUGUCCACAACUAAAGAAGAGAGGGAGUGUGGUGAUGUAGUGUCCACAACUAAAGAAGAGAGGGAGUGUGGUGAUGUAGUGUCCACAACUAAAGAAGAGAGGGAGUGUGGUGAUGUAGUGUCCACAACUAAAGAAGAGAGGGAGUGUGGUGAUGUAGUGUCCACAACUAAAGAAGAGAGGGAGUGUGGUGAUGUAGUGUCCACAACUAAAGAAGAGAGGGAGUGUGGUGAUGUAGUGUCCACAACUAAAGAAGAGAGGGAGUGUGGUGAUGUAGUGUCCACAACUAAAGAAGAGAGGGAGUGUGGUGAUGUAGUGUCCACAACUAAAGAAGAGAGGGAGUGUGGUGAUGUAGUGUCCACAACUAAAGAAGAGAGGGAGUGUGGUGAUGUAGUGUUCACAACUAAAGAAGAGAGGGAGUGUGGUGAUGUAGUGUCCACAACUAAAGAAGAGAGGGAGUGUGGUGAUGUACUGUCCACAACUAUAGAAGAGANNNNNNNNNNNNNNNNNNNNGAAGGAGUAGAGAGAGAUAUAGAGAGGAGGAAGGAGUAG